rnacentral:rRNA from 2 species
UGGUGGGUAGUUUGACUGGGGCGGUCUCCUCCUAAAGAGUAACGGAGGAGCACGAAGGUUAGCUAAUCCUGGUCGGACAUCAGGAGGUUAGUGCAAAGGCAUAAGCUAGCUUGACUGCGAGAGUGACGGCUCGAGCAGGUGCGAAAGCAGGUCUUAGUGAUCCGGUGGUUCUGAAUGGAAGGGCCAUCGCUCAACGGAUAAAAGGUACUCCGGGGAUAACAGGCUGAUACCGCCCAAGAGUUCAUAUCGACGGCGGUGUUUGGCACCUCGAUGUCGGCUCAUCACAUCCUGGGGCUGAAGUAGGUCCCAAGGGUAUGGCUGUUCGCCAUUUAAAGUGGUACGCGAGCUGGGUUUAGAACGUCGUGAGACAGUUCGGUCCCUAUCUGCCGUGGGCGCUGGAGAAUUGAGGGGGGCUGCUCCUAGUACGAGAGGACCGGAGUGGACGCAUCACUGGUGUUCGGGUUGUCAUGCCAAUGGCAUUGCCCGGUAGCUAAAUGCGGAAGAGAUAAGUGCUGAAAGCAUCUAAGCACGAAACUUGC